rnacentral:rRNA from 1 species
CAAAUGACUCUCAGCAACCGGAUAUCUUG